UACGGAGGGGGGCUAGCGUUGUUCGGAAUUACUGGGCGUAAAGCGCACGUAGGCGGCUUUGCAAGUUAGAGGUGAAAGCCCGGGGGCUCAACUCCGGAAUUGCCUUUAAAACUGCAUCGCUAGAAUUGUGGAGAGGUAAGUGGAAUUCCGAGUGUAGAGGUGAAAUUCGUAGAUAUUCGGAAGAACACCAGUGGCGAAGGCGACUUACUGGACACAUAUUGACGCUGAGGUGCGAAAGCGUGGGGAGCAAACAGG
rnacentral:rRNA from 1 species